rnacentral:rRNA from 1 species
GUUCUUAAACUAUGUUUUUUAUUGUAUUUGCAAUGUCUUCAACAGGUAGACUUGAAGUUUUCGGUGCGUGAUGUACUAAAUAAAGAUUAGAUUCGAGAUGUGAUUCCUCUAACAACACUGGGGUCGGUACUUUCAGAAGUGGGCAGCUGCGUUUUCUUUUGUACCCAAUUAGGAGUUAACGUAGUUUGGACGUGUUUUUACACAGUCGCGGGGGCUGUUACCCCUCGGUGUUCCGGUGCGACAGGUGUGAGCGGUCCGACGUGGGUCCGGGUGAGCAGGGACUGUCGGGUUGGGUUCCCAGGUACCCGGUCUUACCUGGUUGACUUCGUGGUCGUUGUUGAUGAUUUCCUUCGCAGUUGCUCUCCUCCCCAUAGAUCACCUAGUUCCAUCGUCGCCGAGCCGAGAAUAGGGGAGGGGUAAAGAAGGAGAGGCGCUACUUGGGAUCGAGCGUUAAGAACAUUGGACGGAGACAUUAGCGGUGGAUAUAAAGAUAACUAGCUCUCAUGCUCAUCUAGGAUAGUAGAUCAUAGGCUCUGGUCGGGAGUAGGGAAGGUGAGGUGAGACCUGUUGGAGUAACUUUGGGAGCGCACGCCGUUCGUGCAAGGCACGAGCGCCGGUACCUAGGCAGUUAGAUCCAUAAGUAGCUGACAGAGCUGUGGUUGUACUUCCGGGUCAGGUUUAUUAGCAACUCUAUGUUGAGGGUUGCUGGUUCUAGCUGCUCGAGUAACGUACCGCCGGGCUAGACCUCUUUGCCCAACGGCUAGACCCACUACGCCACCGUCGUGAAGUUACCCGCGUCGGCGGCAGCUGGUACCUCUUGCGCCUCUGCGCCCGCUGGCGUGGUGAGGUGCGAGGUGGGCGCUGCUAACUGCGGGUGUGCCUCCGACCUAGACCGCGCUAGCUACGAGGUGUUCCCGGUCACUCGGUGCUGGACGAAGUAGACGGUGUCCCCAGACACCGUCGCAGUAAGAUCUGGGGUGGCGAUGGGGGCCAUUGCCCAAUCAUGUUACGGAACUGUCGUAGAGGAAGAAGGGACAGAGGCAAACGUGUGCGGUCAGUUGAGGAGAAACCCGACCCUGUCUGUGUGGGCAGGUAGAGCAAAGGCGUCAAGUGCCCACUGUUGGUCUUAGACACCUUUUGUGAUACACUCGUUAUAAAAGUUUACAAACCCUAGAGUGUCAGGAAAACCAACGGCUACCGACGAGACUUGAAAAGUCCAAGUCGGAGCCACACCAACAUCAGUUAGGUUUUUGCUGAAAGUCUAAAGUGGACCCUUAGAAAGCGAUCAAAUGAGACAUGAGCAAAACCCGCACUAGCCGUGGUUUGCGGCUAAGCUAUCAAGAUGUGAUAGGCGGUUUGAAGAUGUAAGUGAUCAAUGUAACUUGUUAAACUCAACUAAUAUUUAGUAGAGAGUAGAAUAAGCCUAUGAUAAGUGGGUAAGAUAAAAACUGUGCAAAACACCUCCCGAACGCCUUCCUAUAAGCACGCCACCACGAGCAUGUCGCUGGCGGGCUAGACCUAUACCGGACACGGUACCGCAACGACGUUCUCCUUCACCGCCUGCCCCGCAAACCGUGAGACGGAGCCGGUGGGCUACGUUGCGGUUUCGGCCCGCGUGGCUAUGGAGAAGGCAACGGGAGCCGCGCGUGCCAUGGGCGCUGGCUAGUAGCGCCGUGACUGCGGAGGGCACGGCUCCCCAGGUUUGACUUCUGUGAGGCCCUAAUGUCCGCGCGAGCUCCGGAAACGAAGUUCACGUCGUUCUCCACCCCCGUGCUAGCGUGUACGGGGUGAAGACACUUCGAUGUACAGCAGCUCCUCGACGAGCUGAAUAAGCCGGAGCUGUUGCGGUAGCUGUGCGUUCAGGGUUGUGGUAUGGUCCGACUACUGAGACAGUACCGGUAGACGGACAGCCGCCAGUGUCCUCCCCACAGUGGCUUCCGCAAGGUCGAAGCUCGUACCUAGGUUCCUGUGCUUCAAGAAGAGGGCCCCCUGAGGCCGUCGAGGUUAAGCAAGCAGCUGCUCACAGACCGACGUUGUGAGUGGCCGUAGGUUGGAGACGGUUCUGGGCCGGCGCAGGCGCAGCGCCUACCAUCGCUCGAGUGGACGAGGCGGAAGCAGGGGUUGUAGAGGACCAUAAGGCUUCCGGUCCUCAAGAAGUGGCUGAACUUCCACGAGCUCAACCCAUGGAUGCUACGGUAGAACCCGUACCUGACCGAGCUCCUCGUGUCAGGGUACCAGCAGCUGACCGCGCGAGCGAAGUAGCUCUAGGGAUGUGAUCGACCGGGUGAGGCGGACCAGCCGGUGCUGCGUAGACGUUGUUGGAUGCUCAGGUAGUUGUGUUAAGUCGUCGUCCCCGAGACGUCGGCCCCACGGUAGAACGUACACCACGUAGACACGUACCGGCGCGGACGCGUCCGUCGAUGUUGAGGUUAAGGACCAACGUAGGUCGCGCAGGAACUACUCAAGGGUCUACUAAAGUAACUCGGUUGUCCGGAAGGAGGGACCGCACGAACGUUAGUAUCCUAUGGAGAAUAGGGACCUCGAGUCGGCCACUUGUAUGCCAGCAUAGAAGUAUUUGGUCUUGUGUUCUACUUCUAGCUUUGAGUUCACCUUCUUGAUGACUUUAGUCCCCAGUAGGUCGCUUCGUGGUCGGGGAAAAGAAGUGGCCAGUAAGACCAGUUUUUCUUCCUGCUGUGUACCGCUGAAACAUAUCUAAUGUACGUCGAGUUACGUGAAUGUCAUCACGGGUUCAUAGGGCACGGAUAGUAGCUUCUUGAAAACCUGCUUGAAGUACCGCGUUUUACCAAAAGGUUUGACCUGGAGGCACGCCCGAUGGUGGUUUAGGCAGACCGUGGACCCCUCCUCAUAUUCUGGCACAAGGUUUGCGUGGUUCCUGUGAAACUCAAGUGUCAACACAGUAAGCCCGAACGUCCACGUGGUCGGUGAAAGAACCCUCGACACUGGUGUUGUGAGUUUGGUCAAUUGGCGCAGACGCACCACAGGAAGAAGCUGUUGUAGGACCAAAAGUCGAAGAGUGACCUCCUUGUGCGACUUGUAGACGGGUUCACGAUCGCGACGACUCCUUCCUAACGACCUUCCGAUUUUACUCGUUCACAAAAACCAGUUGUCGUCUAUAGUAUGGACCCAGUGUGGUAGUCGCGGGUACCGCACAGGUGACUGGGUAGGUUUUAGCGUCGGCACUUCCUGACCGUUCGUGGUAGACUACAGUUUCCUCAGGCGUCAAAGAACCCCGAGCGUCCAAUGAUAUCCGUGAAGUAGUCUUUGAAACCACAAUAACGUGCGGGGAACAAGUUAGACGAGUUCUUCCCUCAUGGACAGGUUACCUGCAGGUGUUGUCUUUGUAGUAAGGUUCAGGAUUGUGUAGUUGAAUAGAGACGUGGCCAGAACCGCGACGGUCUAAAGUUUGUCGGUAAGCAGUAACUUUGACUGCGAUCGCUGGCGCCGUAGCCCCGUUAAAACAUUGUCGUUCCCGUGGGGUAACGUAAGUACUCGUUCCACGAGUCGGGCGCCAUAUUUCCGGAAAGUUGGAUACUCUUUCUUAUGGAGCGGUAUCAACAUCGCCACCUAGUUACCGUAGGGAUGGAGGUUGUACGACUCAAGUAUUAAGAGUGACUAGUCUUCUCAAAUUAAGCGGACCUUCUCGUUUCCGAUUGGUGAGGUACCGUCGUCUUCCGGAAAUGGUUCGAGGAGCCGGAAGCGAUGGCUUAGUCUAUGUUCUUUCCACAGCUCUUGUGUCCCCGUCUACGAGAUAGUUCCCGGUUGGGUUAACUAAAGGAUUUGUCGUAGUGAAGAACACAUGGGCGAACCGAGCUUCUGCAGCAGUUGUCGAUGUUGUUGUUGGGUGUACGGUGAGCGGAGGACCUUGUCAACAGUGAAGUCGUUCUGGGCUUCCCGGCAAAAAGAGAACUUUUUCCUGAGUAAGCAAAAGCAGCAUCUUAAACCGACCCUCCUCCGUACGUCUAUGCUGUUGCGUAGUAAACAUGAAAGGUGCUGUAGGACUACCUCCCCGUGAGGCUUAAAGGUCACUGAAUAGUAGCGUAGGCCGCAAACAAACGCACCGGUUUCUACUUCUGCGUGUAGGAGGUUAUGCACGCGACGACAGUCUAUACAGUCGUCCGGUUUGGUCUGACCCGACGAAGAGGCCCAGAUGAGGUCGGUGACGCACACGGGUCAGUCGGCACCCUCUACUAGAGAUACCUAAAGCGGCUGCCGGAUAGAGUCAGGUCGUUUAAGUUAACGGAAGACCAGUAGCAGCUGUUCGCAUGGUUCAAACGGAUAAAAGACGGAGAACGAGUGGGAAUGUGCCGUCGCAGUCAGUGCGUCGAUAUGAAUGUGGUUCAGAUGUUCUAGGUAACGGAUGGUCGUCGAUAACACAAACUGUCUCUGGGCCACAAAUGAUCAGUGAAAACCGUUCUUGAGAAGUUUCCCCGUCCCUGUCUCAAUUCUAACUCGUGAAGUUUGGUAGGAGUCUGCCUGCCCGUUUGCCUCUCCCAAUUGGUCACGCACCUUUGUAAGGACGCGACUAAGUGUGUUCGUACGGACGCUACGACCUCAAAAAACUAUGGAAACCAUGUCAAGACCAUGUUGUUACGUGUGGUGAGCCGGUAGCUGUACUGCGGCAAGUUUAGGUACAAGCCGAUACUUGGAGCAGUAACCCCUCAGUGUCGUCUUCCAAAAGUUUCACCCACUGUUCCAGAAGGAGUUCGACGUUGGUAUGUUCUCGUUUAGUGUUCGACCGGAUGUUCAAGAUGUCCGGGAAAGGGUAGUAACUGUUCUAGUUGCUUCACCACAUGUUUGAAGUUGAAGGGGGUGUUCGUUGCCAGGUAGGCCACAAGGUGUAAAGCGACGAAGCUGUUCGAGAGGAAGGUCCAUACUGACAACUUGGAGUAGAAAGAGUAACAAACCUACUAGAUCGAAACGGCCUACGUUAAGAGGUCUGGGCAACCGCGUUGUUGUUUCUGCCGCAGGUUCUCGUUAACUUCUAUGUUACCAGUCGAUGAAGGUUGGACCCGUAGUGAACCCUUCUAUUUCGGUUGAACUACCGGGCCAAAGGUGUACUCCUCCGAACCCCCGUUCGGAGAAGGGUUCCUCCUCCCCUACAGUCGCGGGGGCUGUUACCCCUGGGUGUUCCGGUACGGCAGGUGUGAGCGGUCCGACGUGGAUCCGGGUGAGCUGGAGCUAUCGGGUUGGAUUCCCAGGUACCCGGUCUUACCUGAUUGACUUCGCGGUCGUCGUUGAUGAUUUCCUUCGCAGUUGCUCUCCUCCCCAUAGGUCACCUAGUUCCGUCGCCGCCGAGCCGAGAAUAGGGGAGGGGUAAAGAAGGAGAGGUACUGCUUGGGAUCGAGCGUUAGAACAUUGGACGGAGACAUUAGUGGUGAUAUAACGAUAACUAGCUCUCAUACUCAUCUAGGAUAGUUUUACUUCAGUCCUUGUUAUCGACCAACAUUCAUGUCCAAGAUUAUCACUCUUAAGACCGUUCU